CCCCAAUAUACAAGGUGCCCACGAACGUUCCACGUGGGGGUCCGUCUCUGUCAAUAUCCGUAUCGAUCAACACACGCACGUGGAUGUGAAUUCAUCCUUACCCAUACGCAUAAUAAGUCCCGGCCUGCACAUUCCCCGUGAUGCCACUAUCUAUGUCCGGACAACGCUUACGACUGGUCGACGCCCCAAUCAAUGUACAUAUAUUUAAAAUAUAAAUUGUCUGUAAAUAUUAGUUUAUAAGCC